GACGAACGCUGGCGGCGUGCCUAAUACAUGCAAGUCGAGCGGACUGAAUGGGAGCUUGCUCUUGUUCGGUCAGCGGCGGACGGGUGAGUAACACGUGGGCAACCUGCCCGCAAGACCGGGAUAACUCCGGGAAACCGGAGCUAAUACCGGAUAACACCGAAGACCGCAUGGUCUUUGGUUGAAAGGCGGCGCAAGCUGCCACUUGCGGAUGGGCCCGCGGCGCAUUAGCUAGUUGGUGAGGUAACGGCUCACCAAGGCGACGAUGCGUAGCCGGCCUGAGAGGGGGACCGGCCACACUGGGACUGAGACACGGCCCAGACUCCUACGGGAGGCAGCAGUAGGGAAGCUUCCGCAAUGGGCGAAAGCCUGACGGAGCGACGCCGCGUGAGCGAAGAAGGCCUUCGGGUCGUAAAGCUCUGUUGUGAGGGACGAAGGAGCGCCGUUUGAAGAAGGCGGCGCGGUGACGGUACCUCACGAGGAAGCCCCGGCUAACUACGUG
rnacentral:rRNA from 1 species